rnacentral:rRNA from 1 species
AUUGAACGCUGGCGGCAGGCCUAACACAUGCAAGUCGAACGAGUGGCGGACGGGUGAGUAAUGUCUGGGAAACUGCCUGAUGGAGGGGGAUAACUACUGGAAACGGUAGCUAAUACCGCAUACCAUCAGAUGUGCCCAGAUGGGAUUAGCUAGUUGGUGGGGUAACGGCUCACAAAGGCGACGAUCCCUAGCUGGUCUGAGAGGAUGACCGUCAAAACUGGAAUGGAGCAAGGGUCCAAACUCUGAGGGAGGGAAGCAUUGGGGAAUUGUGGAAAAGGGGGGCAAUCCUACGGCGCACAGGCCGCGUGGAUGAAGAAGGCCUUAGGGUGGAAAAGUACUUUAAGCGGGGAGGCGGUACCCGAAGAAGAAGCACCGGCUAACUCCGUGCCAGCAGCCGCGGUAAUAC